rnacentral:rRNA from 1 species
CGUGGGUAWUUGCCAUGGGCGCAAGCCUGAUGCAGCCAUGCCGCGUGUAUGAAGAAGGCCUUCGGGUUGUAAAGUACUUUCAGCGGGGAGGAAGGGAGUAAAGUUAAUACCUUUGCUCAUUGACGUUACCCGCAGAAGAAGCACCGGCUAACUCCGUGCCAGCCGCCGCGGUAAAGC